GGCGACUUCUCCUCGCUGGCCUCAUUUUCCAGUACAUACAUGGUUUGGCCGCUCAUGGGGUUCAUUAUCUGCACCGGCCGGGCCCUACCCUUCAAGAUCUUGGCUUCAUGAUUCUUCCGGAGCUUGGGAAAGAAAGGGGUUACAUCAUUGAUACAUUGUUUACAUUCGUCUUCCUCACCUUCGUUUUG